GCCCAUGUAGCUCAGCAGGUAGAGCACAUCCUUGGUAAGGAUGAGGUCACCGGUUCGAUCCCGGUCGUGGGCU
rnacentral:tRNA from 3 species